rnacentral:lncRNA from 1 species
CAGAAUUCAGUUGCUUCCGGCAGCCUUGUGAUUCAGAUAACCGAGAAAGGUCUCUCUUCUAUGAAAAGCCAUGCUGGGCUUUGGCUCAACUUCUCACAGAGCCUAAGUGCCCUAUGUCUGGCGGCUCCUUCUCUUCCUGGGCUACCUGCUGUUGAAACUAUUUUUACCAACACUCGAGGAAUAAGGACUCCAACAGGACUGGAAUGAUGGCUGCUAUCUGUUCCAGAAAACUUCAAUAUUGCCUCAAGUGAAAAGGAAAAGCUCAUAUUUCAAGACCACUGACAUCAGCCCAUUCACAUCCUGCAAGAGGAUGGAUGCCAGUUCCUUUUACUGUGAAGAAAAGAGAGAUGCAUUAGCAUCCCUUCACCCAUCUCUCCACCAGUCUUUUUGGUUUGUAGAUCAGCCAGUCUGGCUGCUGUAACAGGAUUAAAAUGUAAUGUCUCCCAGCAAGCUAGUGAAUAUCAGCCCUCUUUCACCUUGUGGAUAUAAACGCCUUCUUUAGUGGAUAAAGCCAUUAGUUGAC